UACGUACUCCCUCCGUCAUAAAAUUCUUGUCUUAAAUUUGUCUAAAUACGAAUGUAUCUAGACUUGAUACAUCCGUAUUUAGACACAUCUAAGACAAGAAUUUUGAGACAGAGGUAGUAUCAU
rnacentral:pre_miRNA from 1 species